UCCCUGGCAGUCCAGUAGCUAAGGCUCUGCACUCCCAAUGCACAGGGUCCAGUUUCAAUCCCUGGUCAGGGAA
rnacentral:tRNA from 1 species